AUCUUUUUUUUUUUUUGUCUUUUAGCUCUUCCUACAUCACCUCUCUCGCACUUUCUCUCUCUCCUCCAUUUUCGGUUUUUUAGGUUUUCCCUUCUCUUGCUUCCGACAAUUGCAGUAACAGUGGCAGACCUUGCCUUCUCUCUCACGAUUUUCUCUCAAUGGCGGUGAUUGGAAGAGCUUUCCGCCUUCAUAUGCAAUACAUUUUUUAACAUGCAAUAACGGCGAGAUAAGACAUGCUGCUAGCAGUUUCACCGGCAAGCUUCAAAAUCACCGGUGUUGCAUUAGCAUCACCGGCUCCGAUCUCUCCGUCAUCUUCAAAUGCUUCUGCUCGGAAGAAGAUGGUAAGUGCUUGGUUCAUUAAAUCCCCUGUUUCUCACGGUUUUUGAACAGAGUCCGAGUUCAUCGACUCUGUUCUCCUUGAACGUGGGGAUUAGUUGUGCGUGAUUCAAAGGACGAUACACACUCCUUAUGGUUGUUUUGAAGAUUUUCGAGAGAGAGAGAGAGAGAGAGGAGAUGCACUCCACUACUCAACUCCUCUUACCGGCUGUGAUUAGCGACCCAUGUAUAUAUAUCAUUCUUCAUUUAUUUUUUAAGUCAAUUAAUAUUAUUUUUUCUUCCUUUGUGUAUCUAUUGCACAAAAAAUAUCAUCAAAUGGGGAAAACCAGCCUAUUUUAGCCA